rnacentral:rRNA from 1 species
UACGUAGGGUGCGAGCGUUAAUCGGAAUUACUGGGCGUAAAGGGAGCGCAGGCGGAUAUAUAAGUUAGAUGUGAAAUCCCCGGGCUUAACCUGGGAACGGCAUUUAAGACUGUGUAUCUAGAGUUUAUUAGAGGGGGGUAGAAUUCCAGGUGUAGCAGUGAAAUGCGUAGAGAUCUGGAGGAAUACCGGUGGCGAAGGCGGCCCCCUGGGAUAGAACUGACGCUCAUGCUCGAAAGCGUGGGUAGCAAAC